AACGAACGCUGGCGGCAGGCCUAACACAUGCAAGUCGAGCGCCCUUUCGGGGGAGCGGCGGACGGGUGAGUAACGCGUGGGAAUAUGCCCUUCUCUACGGAAUAGCCUCGGGAAACUGAGAGUAAUACCGUAUACGCCCUCUGGGGGAAAGAUUUAUCGGGGAAGGAUUAGCCCGCGUUGGAUUAGGUAGUUGGUGGGGUAAUGGCCUACCAAGCCGACGAUCCAUAGCUGGUUUGAGAGGAAGAUCAGCCACCCUGGGAAUGAGACACGGCCCAGACUCCUACGGGAGGCAGCAGUUGGGAAUCUUAGACAAUGGGGGCAACCCUGAUCUAGCCAUGCCGCGUGAAUGAUGAAGGCCUUAGGGUUGUAAAGCUCUAUCAGCUGGGAAGAUAAUGACGGUACCAGCAGAAGAAGCCCCGGCUAACUCCGUG
rnacentral:rRNA from 1 species